GGAUUUAUGACAGGCUGACCUCAGUGAACACAUGAACUAUACUAAGGUAUCAUACUAAGCAGGAGAUAUGGCCCUCUCAGUCUCAAUCGUGGCUUUAAAAGUGAGCAGCAGAGCUCUUUAUACAGGUUGGUAGGUGUUUGAGACUCAUACAGGCUGAGCAGGGAAGCGGUGAGUGGACAGUGAUUCCAGGCACCAGUUAAACCUCUGAGGAGAAGAAGGACUUCCCACAUGGACUCCAACAGUGCCGGCAGCGUGCAAUAUGAUCGCUGGAACGAGGACAACAUCAACAUGAAAGUCGAUGCAUCACAGUCUACUGUGAUGAGGAUCUACGACAGAGUGUGUAAGCAGAUCUGGAGUAGCAGUGAAGGCCACAGGAGCUUUGGCUGCACUGUGUCCAUUUACUCAU